rnacentral:ribozyme from 12 species
AAAUGAGAAAUAUUUGCCCAGGAAAUAAAAGGAAAAGAAGCUCAGCUAUUUCUAUUUGCUAUUUUUUUUUUUUUUUU